rnacentral:rRNA from 1 species
GGGGGUUGACAACAGGGAUUGCCCUAGUAACGGCGAGUGAAGCGGCAACAGCUCAAAUUUGAAAUCUGGCCCUUGGGUCCGAGUUGUAAUUUGUAGAGGAUGUUUUUGGUGCGGUAUCUUCCGAGUUCCUUGGAACAGGACGCCUUAGAGGGUGAGAGCCCCGUACGGUUGACUACCUAGCCUUUGUAAAACUCCUUCGACGAGUCGAGUAGUUUGGGAAUGCUGCUCUAAAUGGGAGGUAAAUUUCUUCUAAAGCUAAAUACUGGCCAGAGACCGAUAGCGCACAAGUAGAGUGAUCGAAAGAUGAAAAGCACUUUGAAAAGAGGGUUAAAUAGCACGUGAAAUUGUUGAAAGGGAAGGAUUUAUGACCAGACUUUUUCUAGGCGGAUCAUCCGGUGUUCUCACCGGUGCACUUCGCUUAGUUUAGGCCAGCAUCGAUUUUCGGUGGGGGAUAAAAGCUUUAGGAAUGUGGCUCCUCCGGGAGUGUUAUAGCCUAUUGUAUAAUACCCUACUGGGGAUCGAGGUACGCGCUUCUGCAAGGAUGCUGGCGUAAUGGUUAUCAAUCACCCGUCUUGAAACACGGACCAAGGAGUCGAACAUUUGUGCAAGUGUUUGGGUGUUAAACCCUCACGCGUAAUGAAAGUGAACGGAGGUGAGAACCCUUACGGGUGCAUCAUCGACCGAUCCUGAUGUUUUCGGAUGGAUUUGAGUAAGAGCAUAACUGUUCGGACCCGAAAGAUGGUGAACUAUGCGUGGAUAGGGUGAAGCCAGAGGAAACUCUGGUGGAGGCUCGCAGCGGUUCUGACGUGCAAAUCGAUCGUCAAAUCUGCGCAUGGGGGCGAAAGACUAAUCGAACCAUCUAGUAGCUGGUUACCGCCGAAGUUCUCCCCUCGAGAGUAUA